GCAAGUCGAACGCGCAGCGAAAGGUGCUUGCACCUUUCAAGCGAGUGGCGAACGGGUGAGUAACACGUGGAUAACCUGCCUCAAGGCUGGGGAUAACAUUUGGAAACAGAUGCUAAUACCGAAUAAAACUUAGUAUCGCAUGAUACAAAGUUGAAAGGCGCUACGGCGUCACCUAGAGAUGGGUCCGCGGUGCAUUAGUUAGUUGGUGGGGUAAAGGCCUACCAAGACAAUGAUGCAUAGCCGAGUUGAGAGACUGAUCGGCCACAUUGGGACUGAGACACGGCCCAAACUCCUACGGGAGGCUGCAGUAGGGAAUCUUCCACAAUGGGCGAAAGCCUGAUGGAGCAACGCCGCGUGUGUGAUGAAGGCUUUAGGGUCGUAAAGCACUGUUGUAUGGGAAGAAAUGCUAGAAUAGGGAAUGAUUCUAGUUCGACGGUACCAUACCAGAAAGGGACGGCUAAAUACGUGCCAGCAGCCGCGGUAAUACGUAUGUCCCGAGCGUUAUCCGGAUUUAUUGGGCGUAAAGCGAGCGCAGACGGUUGAUUAAGUCUGAUGUGAAAGCCCGGAGCUCAACUCCGGAAUGGCAUUGGAAACUGGUUAACUUGAGUGUUGUAGAGGUAAGUGGAACUCCAUGUGUAGCGGUGGAAUGCGUAGAUAUAUGGAAGAACACCAGUGGCGAAGGCGGCUUACUGGACAACAACUGACGUUGAGG
rnacentral:rRNA from 1 species